CUCAGUCUUCCUCAGGGCCAUCCAUGACAUAGAUGUUGACGCUACCUGGUGAGCUAACUAGCUAGGACAAUAGGACACAGGACCACCAAGCAGCCAAGCAAAAGUCAACAUAACAUGCACGCUAAAAAGGAGUAAUGGACCAGGACGCCAGGACAUCUUCAGUGUGGACAAAGCAGCCAUCUACUUGAUCUAUGGCUGGCUGACAUUCUCGAGUGCCAAC